rnacentral:rRNA from 1 species
GAUGAACGCUGGCGGCGUGCCUAAUACAUGCAAGUCGAGCGAACAGACGAGGAGCUUGCUCCUCUGACGUUAGCGGCGGACGGGUGAGUAACACGUGGAUAACCUACCUAUAAGACUGGGAUAACUUCGGGAAACCGGAGCUAAUACCGGAUAAUAUAUUGAACCGCAUGGUUCAAUAGUGAAAGACGGUUUUGCUGUCAUUUAUCGAUGGAUCCGCGCCGCAUUAGCUAGUUGGUAAGGUAACGGCUUACCAAGGCAACGAUGCGUAGCCGACGUGAAAGGUUGCUCGGCCACACUGGAACUGAGACGAGGUGCAGACUACUACGGGAUGCAGCAAUUGCGACUCUUCCGCCAGAAGCGGAAGCCUGACGGGGCAACGCCGCCUGAAUGAUGGAUGUCUUCGGAUCAUAAGACUCUUUUAUUAGGGAAGAACAAAUAUGUAAGUUACUAUGAACGUCUUGUCGGUACCUAAUCAGAAAGCCACGGCUAACUACGUG